rnacentral:lncRNA from 1 species
CACAGAUUUUAAAGCUUUCCGAUUUUAUAAGUCGAACCAAAUACGCCUAGAAACUGGAUUACGGUCUGACCGAUUCGACCAGACCCGACCCGACCCGACGUUCUACCUGAUUUCUGUUUUUAAAGACUAGUUGCUAGGGAUGUCAACAGAUCGAACUUGGAAUUUUUAAAAAUCCGAACUCGAACCCGACUAUCAAACCCGACGCUGGAAAUCCGAAUCCCAAACAAUUAUAUCACUUUACCGUAUUUCAAAAUAUAUCGUUUUAAAUCUUAAUUUUUAAAAAUACAAAUUCAAAUAUAACAUCGAACAUUUAUAAAUAUUAUAUAAUAUAAAAUCAAUUCGGGUUCGGAUCAGAUUCUGGUUCGGAUUCAAGUUUGGGUCGGGUAUAGUCAAAAUCCAUAUCCAAAUCCAAAUUCAUUGGAUUUUCAUAUUUUUUAACUAGUAUCUGAAAUUACAUUUAGACUUAGUUUGGUAUUGAGAUCCAUCUGACGCUAUUAAAUAAAAUGGAGUUGGGAUAAUAAUAUAGAGAGAUAUACUUCUGCGUUCUUCUGUGGGACCAUAAAAAAUAUAUCGUAACCAACUCAUCAUGUAAUGUAAUAUUACGUACAGAAACAAACAGGAUAUUUUUCUAUCGUACUUUUUUACCGCACUUUCCUGCAAUCGCAAACGAAGCCCUAGGCUUAAUUUGGUAUUCAGGCCUAUCUGACGCUAUUAGUAAAAUGAAGUUGGUGCAAAAAUACAUGGGGAUAUGCUUCUGUGUUCUCCGAUGGGACCAUAGAAAAUAUAUUAUAACCAACUCAUCGCGUAUUAUGUAAAGAAACAAACAGAGUUGGUGCAAAAAUACAUGGGGAUAUGCUUCUGCGUUCUUCGAUAGGACCAUAGAAAAUAUAUCGUAACCAACUCAUCGCGUAUUACGUAAAAAACAAACAAAGUAUUUGCCCACUGUUCUUUCUCCCCGCAAUAUCACUUUGUUAUUGAGGCCUAUCUAACACAAUCUCCCCGCAAUCCCAAACACUCACCGCAUGUAACGCAAUCUCCCCGCAAUCCCAAACGAAGCCUUAGGCUUAGUUUGGUAUUGAGGUAUAUCUAACACUAUUAGAUAAAAUAGAGUUGGAGUAAAAGUAAAUAGAGAUACGCAAUAUUACGUACAGAAACAAACAUGGUAUUGUCCAAUCGUACUUUCUCCCCGCACAUAACGCAAUCUUCUCGCAAUCCCAAACAAAGCCUUAGGCUUAGUUUGAUAUUGAGAUUUAUCUAACGCUAUUAGAUAAAAUGAGAAUGGGGUAAAAGAAUAUAGAAAUAUAUUUCUACGUUCUUCGGUGGGACAGCAAAAAAAUAUAUCAUAACCGACUUAUCGUGAUAUGACGAAUGCAAUAUUAUUACGUACGAAAACAAAUAUGAUAUUUUUUAAUCGUAUUUUUUUAUCGCACGUAAUGUAAUCUCUCCGCAGUUUCAAAUAAAGCAGUAUCGGAUAAAUUUUGCUCUUUUUAAAUUUGAAUUCGAAUUCGGAUAAAAAUUUGGGAAAACUUCAAAUACCCCCUUGUGGUUUCGCACUUUCUCACUUUAGUACCAUAUGGUUUAAAGUGUAUCAAGUUAGUACCCUGUGGUUUCGCACUUUCUCACUUUAGUACUCCGUGGUUUAAAGUGUAUCAAGUUAGUAUCCUGUAGUUUCGCACUUUCUCACUUUAGUACUCCGUGGUUUAAAGUGUAUCAAGUUAGUAUCCUGUAGUUUCGCACUUUCUCACUUUAGUACUCCGUGGUUUAAAGUGUAUCAAGUAGGUACCCUGUGGUUUCGCACUUUCUCACUUUAGUACCAUGUGGUUUAAUAUUUCAUUAAGAGAAAAAUAAAACCUCAUGGUACUAACUUGAUACAAAAAUAAAACCACAAAAUACUAACUUGAUACACUUUAAACCACAUGGUACUAAAGUGAAAAAGUGCGAAACCACAGAGUACUAACUUAAUACACUUUAAACCACAGGAUACUAAAGUAAAAAACUACAGGGUACUAACUUGAUACAAAAUUAAAACCACAGAAUACUAACUUAAUACACUUUAAACCACAGGGUACUAAAGUAAAAAAGUGUGAAACCACAUAGUACUAACUUAAUAUACUUUAAACUAUAGGAUACUAAAAUAAAAAAGUGCGAAAUCAUAUAGAGUUUCGAAGUUUUCCCUACAAAUUUUGGGUA